rnacentral:siRNA from 1 species
UGUCAUUGAGAACAAGAAUGGGAG